GAUGAACGCUGGCGGCGUGCCUAAUACAUGCAAGUCGAGCGAACGGACGAGAAGCUUGCUUCUCUGAUGUUAGCGGCGGACGGGUGAGUAACACGUGGAUAACCUACCUAUAAGACUGGGAUAACUUCGGGAAACCGGAGCUAAUACCGGAUAAUAUUUUGAACCGCAUGGUUCAAAAGUGAAAGACGGUCUUGCUGUCACUUAUAGAUGGAUCCGCGCUGCAUUAGCUAGUUGGUAAGGUAACGGCUUACCAAGGCAACGAUGCAUAGCCGACCUGAGAGGGGGAUCGGCCACACUGGAACUGAGACACGGUCCAGACUCCUACGGGAGGCAGCAGUAGGGAAUCUGCCGCAAUGGGCGAAAGCCUGACGGAGCAACGCCGCGUGAGUGAUGAAGGUCUUCGGAUCGUAAAACUCUGUUAUGAGGGAAGAACAUAUGUGUAAGUAACUGGGCACAUCUUGACGGUACCUAAGCAGAAAGCCACGGCUAACUACGU
rnacentral:rRNA from 1 species